GCACAGCUCGGCUUGUGUGCUUUCAGGGCAGGGCUUGUCGUGGAGGCACAUGGCUGCUUAUCUGAGCUGUAUACGGCUGGAAGAGUGAAAGAGUUGCUUGCACAAGGUGUAUCACAAAACCGGUACCAUGAGAAGACCCCAGAACAGGAGAAACUGGAGAGGAGAAGGCAGAUGCCAUACCAUAUGCACAUAAAUCUCGAGCUCCUCGAAGCCACACAUCUCAUCUGUGCCAUGCUCCUCGAAGUCCCCUACAUGGCCUCCAACUCCCAUGAGGCCAAGCGCAAGGUCAUCAGCAAGACAUUUCGACGGCUCCUCGAGAUGAGCGAAAGGCAGACAUUUAUUGGCCCUCCCGAAAAUGUCAGAGACCAUGUCAUGGCCGCGACGAGAGCCCUCAGCAAGGGCGAUUAUCAAAAAGCUUUUGAGGUGAUUAGCUCCCUCGACAUCUGGAAGCUGUUAAGGAGCAAGGAGAGAGUCCUCGAUAUGCUCAAGACGAAGUUCAAGGAAGAGGCAUUGAGGACCUACCUCUUUGCGUUUGUGUCGUGCUACGACUCCCUCAGCUUGGACCAGCUUACUACGAUGUUUGACCUGACGGAGGCGCAAGCCCACAGUAUUGUGAGCAAGAUGAUAAUCAUGGAGGAACUGAGUGCAAGCUGGGACCAGCCGACGAAGUGCG
rnacentral:misc_RNA from 1 species